CCCUUAGAUGUCCUGGGCUGCACGCGCGCUACACUGAUGUGUCCAGUAAGCACCUAACCUCUUCCGAAAGGAACGGGUAACCUUUGCAAAGCACAUCGUGAUGGGGAUAGAUUAUUGCAAUUAUUAGUCUUGAACGAGGAAUUCCUAGUAAGCACAAGUCAUCAGCUUGUGUUGAUUACGUCCCUGCCCUUUGUACACACCGCCCGUCGCUCCUACCGAUUGAAUGUUCCGGUGAGGUCUUCGGACUGCGCGGUCUGCAGUUUCUGCGUUCCGUGCGGAAAGUUGCGCAAACCUUAACAUUUAGAGGAAGGAGAAGUCGUAACA
rnacentral:rRNA from 1 species